CCAUUGCUGAGGAGUCCCACAAUUGGACGAAACGGCCGUCCAGUGC
rfam:Schistosoma mattheei strain Denwood, Zambia genome assembly, scaffold: SMTD_scaffold0008416